rnacentral:sRNA from 1 species
UGUGUGUGUGUGUACAUAUACAUAUAGAGUACACACACAUAUUACAGUAACAUUUUAACCUGCUGGAAAUCAAUACAUAAAAGGUAUGUACAAAGGAGAAGGAAAAGAAUUUAGGGACUCUCUGCUUCUGAUCAUAACUGAUUCCAUUGCUAAACUUUAUUAAAAAAUAUCUGAGUAUCCCAUCCAUUCUUAUCAGACCUUGAGAGGCCCAGUGACACAGGCAGCUUUGGUCAGCGUUGUGGCUAGACUGAACAACUAUACAGAAUUCUGGAAACUGAAGUCUUUUGGAAAGAAAGACAAAGCAAUUGCCUGCCUACCUAGUUUGUGGAGGCCGUAUUCAUUCUCUUUCAACCAUAAGACCCCAAAAUGCACAUCAAAUUUCACUGUAAUGUGUAUGACUCAUGUGUUCCUGAAUGAAUUCAAGCCUCAGUCCCACACAUAGACCCAGUGUGAGAGAGUCUGGCCUGGCUCCUCUUGCAAAGCUUGUGCUCAGGAGCCUCUGACUAUGACUUGAGCAUGUAGCUGGUAAUAGCUCUUGAGACUAGACAACCGGGACUCCUCAAACAGCAUGGUGUGUAUGUCAGGGAGUGAUGUAGCCUGGGCCAGUUUCCUGCCCUUCUGGAGUUAUUAUUAUAGAUGUUCCAUUUUAACUAUCUGCAGAAGAAUUCUUCAGAGGCUGUGGAGAUGGCUCAGUGGUAAAGUGUUUGACACACAAGCACAAGAAAUGUGAGUUCUGAUUCUCAGAACCCAAUAAAGCUGAAUGCUGCAGAGCAGGUAUGUAAUCCCAAUGCCCUUCCAGCAGGAUGAAGGGCAGCCCGGAGAGUCUCCAGGGUGGGAUAGCCUGGCUCGUGCAUCAGCAAACAUCACGUUACCCUGCCUCAAGGUGCAACGUGAAGACUGACACCGAGGUUGUCCUUUAAACUCACACACACACACACACACACACACACACACACACACACACACACACUGUAGCACACAACUGUCUACUCAUACCUAAACAUGCAUGCACCCACAGAACAUUUUUAAAAUCCUUCUUUUUAGGGCUAUCUUGUUAUUAGUAGUAUCUGAAUUUUUUAAAAUUAAUUACAUAAUUUCUCCCUUCUCUUUUUCCCCUCUAAGCUGUCCCGUCUACCCCUCCUAGCCAGCUCUCUUUCAAACUCAUGGCUUCUCUUUUUUAAAUUGUUGUUGCACACAGUGUGCGCACAUGUGUAUGUCUCCACGUGUGCACAUGCAUACUUCUAAACAUGUAAAUGUGAGCACAGCUUGCUCGGUCUGAGUGAUGUUAUUUCUGUGGACACGUGUUCAGAGCUGACCGCUGGCUGGUGGAUACUCAGUUAUUGCGCUCGUCCCCACUUCUCCAGCUCUCAGCUUUUCUUGGUUGCUUGCAGCUCCUUGUCUACAGCUGAGGGCGCAUAAGUGUUCCCCUGUCCACCGUGUUGCCCUUGUCCAGGUCGUGCUUAGGUAGCCAUGUUGAUGAGCAAUUUCAUGAGUGUAGCUUCUGCCAUUUUUAGGAGACACAAUUCCACAGCGAAUUCUGUCCCUCUGACUCUUGGAAUCGUUCUGCCGCUCUUCUGAAAUGGUCCCUUAUAUGUGAGAGUUGUGUUGUGGGUGUAAUUGUUGCAAUUGUCUACAACUCUGCUUUUUGCUUGUGCUAUUAUUAUUUUUGACCACACUUGGCAUUGAACCUAGGCCUUUGCACAUACUAAUCAAAUCUUCUAACAAUUGAGUUGUCUUCUCAGCCUGCCCAUUCUAACUCCAGUAUAGAGCCUCAAUCUGGUAUCUGGGUCUCUGGGGCAGAUUUCUCCACUGAUCUCUGACCAAGGUUUCCUUUAACUCUGCUCUAUGAGCCCCGGGCUGAUGUCUGAAAGUUGACAGCUGUCUACAGACUUCCUGACUACUAGACUGAUGUCCUUCUUCACUCCUGUGAUGGUGUCCUGACCCUUUGGAUUCAGGGUGGAGUUAAUACAGGAAAUUGGUUACCAAGAAACUCAAAGGUUGAAGGAAAGCAAGACACAACAAAGAAAAGACAGAUCACCCAUGGCUGAGAGCAGUGACCUCACCAGAGUCUGGGGGACAGAAGGGAGUUGCCCGAGCUGCCAAAGCCCAAGAAAUCAGAGCCUUAAAGGACACUCGAAGAACAUUAAAAUGCUGUGACCACUUCUAAGCAGAGACUACGGUGCCUGGCAGAGUUCUUAGAAUUUAGUGGAUUUUCAACAUAGGCUUAUAUUUAACGAAUUAAUAAUGAAAGGCUUGAUUCUUCUGACAUCUUCCUUUAUGGUAAAGACAGUGAAUGGAAAAUCAGAGCUGAAGAAGAGGAGAUGCUUUUCAACGGACCUCUCAUUUGAAGUCCAGUGAGCACACAAUCAAGCGUUGGUCUUGCCAUCUCCGUUUCCGAGACUUGCCAGGUAUUUCCUGGGCUGUCAGCUGUUAGCUGGAGUGUGUGCAGGUGGGUGCUUAGCAAGCAUUUCUCGUCCUUUCUCUUAGUUCCAACGUUUGUUUAUGUUUCCUUAUCUCUUUCAUCCAAGGUGAACCUGAACUGAGAGGCAGCAUUUAUAAAAGAGCUGCCAGCUUGCACACAGGAAUUCUCUCACAUUCGUGCUUGCCUGGUUUUCUUCACCCAAAGCACAAAGACGUGCUGUUGAACACGCGUUGUUCUUUUCUCCUUGAAUACUAGAAAGAGAGGAUUCUUGGAUAUUUACCCAAAGUUUUGUCGCACUGAGAAGACUCUGUGGAGGAGACACGGCAGGGAAGCAGUUCUGGCGUAAAGAAGUAAAAAGGUUUCCCUCUUAGCUUUAUAAUAAGUAACUUCCUUACCCCUGUCUGGAAGCUUGUACACUGUAGACAAAAAGCUGCAAAGAACAAAAGGCGACCAGUUCACUCAAUGGAGUUCUCUGUACAGGUCAAGGAAAUGCCAAACUUAACAGAUGUCUUUGACUGUGCCCUGCAGGUCGAUAAAUCCGUUUUUGUUGAACCAGGAAGAGGAAGGAAUUUCAGAACUUCAGGUCCCCAAAUGGAAAUGCCCCUUAGGACAAGUCUAAACUAGGGAAAUAGCACUGGAGAGCCUCCAAGUCAGUUGGCCCAGUCUCCUGUAACUCAUUUCUGGGCCCCCUGAAGCUGUUUGUUUAACUCUGCCUCUACAAUUGCUGUUGUGUCAAAGGGAGUUAAUCAUUAGCAAGUGUGAACACUGUUGGUAGAAAACACAGCGAUUGCAGUUCUCCAUUCUGACAUAAUUUUAACUAUUUUUCAGAAUUAAGAGAAAAGGAACACUGGGUGAAAGUAGGGUAGAAUUUGGGGAGCUGUUAAUUCACUUUCCAGCUUUGACAAUUGCCAUGGAGAGAGUCAUGUAGUUUUCUGCACAUGAUGCUCCCUUGCCCACUGCCUCAGGGUAGUUUCUUCCCUCCAUGGUCAGUUUAGGGUGGCUAAUCUCCAGAAAUCUAGAUGUCAGAAAAUGAUCUGAAGGUUCAGGUAUAGGGACCUCUGCACUGUCAGAGCCACCAAUGAUACUGGAGCAAUAAUACAGACUGAGUUAGGGCACAGAGCUCCAUAGCCUUCCUGGGCUAAUAAUCCUCCCAGGCUAAUAGUCCUCUCGGGCUGGGAAUCACAACUCUUCUAUGAAUCACACCACAGGAGCCCUGGGAUUGGGGUUGGUGCAUAAAGUAACAUUCCAGCAGCUGCAGAAGAAUAAAUACAUGAGCUGCCAGGAAUUCAGCAGCCAUCCAGGGCUGCUGCCCCAGGCUCAGAAUCCCACUACUUGACAGGCUGAGGCAAGAAGGCUGCAAGUUUAGCAUCAAUCUUGACACAUCCAGACCAUGUCUCAAAAAUUUUAAAAAGUGAAAUGAAAAUGUUGGAGAGGUUGGGGAAGCUGCAGCUGUAGCUCGGUGGUAGCAUAUCUGACUGGCAUGCAGGAAGUCCUGUGUUCAAUCCCCCGAAGCACAUACCGCAUGCAUACACACAAAGACGUAUGCAUGCUCGCACGCGCACAGGCACGGACGCAUGCACGUGUACGCUCUCCUAGAGUUAUUCAAAUGGUCUCUAGUUUGAGAAUCUCAAGGAGACACCUAAACACGUUCUCGACAGUAGCAGCCACAGCCAAGACUCCGAAGAGCCUCUGAAAACCAGUACACAUUACCACAAGACUUUGGAAAUUGUCCCAUGGAUGGACAUAGACAAACCUCACUGCUUCUGGACCGCAGCUCUUCCAAUGAUGCCCUCUCCAGCUCACUCACUGCUGCUCCUCAUCUCCUUGGGCAACUUUUACAAGUGAAGGCAGAGACACCAAAGCCCAUGUCCUAAGGUCUCCAAUUCUCUCUCUCUUCCCUUUGUAAUUCCUCCCUCAGACUCCUUUUGUUAAUAUUUAUGUUCUCAGGCUUAGUCUAGAGAUACUCUCUACUUUAAAAUGAAAAUGGAGGGGUGUAGCUCAGAGGUUGAAAACAGACCCUCAUAUUGACCCUGAUACUCCCCGCUCUGCGAGGCCUGUGUGUGGCCUGGCGAUGCAUCCAGCCCGGUCCUCCAGGUGGCCUGUGCUCUGCCUCCAAAGACUGCAUCCAUGACUCAGCUCCAGAGGCUCUGCAGACCACAGCACAGUUUCGUGUGUCACAGACCUGCACACCUUUUGGCUCCUCUACAGGGUUUUCUGUCUGGGGCACCCUUUACUCAAUGGCAAGGUUUCCAUUCUCUUUGGCUGUCCUUGGGAUACUGGUCAUUUAUUCUCACUCUCCACGUCUUCUCCUCUACCCCGCAAUUUUGAAUGAAAUGAUUCUCUUCUGGACUCCAAAGGCGCCUGCCUGUUGUGUAGUGAAGGAUUUAGCCAGCUGUAUCGGGAGCGCGUGCUCAUCCUAGAUCCUUUCAUAGAAUAUGUGUCUCAGUGCAGGCAGAGCCCACGUUAUUUCAUUCCAGUGUCCCUGAUCUUUAGCACAUUAAUAAUGAGUCAUAUAGUAGCUUGUUAAAGUGCCCAGAGCGGGUGGGCUAGGCAAGUUCUAAUGUCUGUGUUUGUGUAAAUAACUUGAUUUUAAAUGCCUGGUUAGGUGUGGUGGUUUGAAUGAGAUGUCCCCAACAAGCCACCAGCUUUGAAUACUUGGUCCAGAGUUGGUUGCUGUCUUGGAGAGGGUGAGAAGGUGUGAUCUUAAUAAAGGAAGUGUAUCACUGGGGGUGGGCUUUGAGAUUUUGAAGACCCACAUACCAUCUCUACUGAGAACUCCCGAUUUCCUUUUUGUGGUUGGGAAUGCGGGCUCUCAGCUGAUGCUGCAGCUGCCUCCUGCACACAUAGUGCACUUACAGAAUCAGGAGAGAAUGCCUCAGGACUGGCAGUGUGGUUACAGUCACUUCGCAGGAAGAACGACAUACAGACACCUAGAACUGAAUGUAUUAUUGACUUCAUUGUAUUUUCCUGGGUGUCAGUCUCCACUUGAAAUCAUUGCUCUUUAGGGAGAAGGGAUAUUUUGUUUUGAAGAUUAGUUGGAGUGAAAGAAGAGGAGAGAUGGGUGAAAUGAUGAGAAGAAAAGAACAAGUACCUAUGACAUUGAACAAGAACAUUAUAAACCAGACCUGAUGACACAGAAAUAAGUCAUAGGGGAUGCUCCCCCUAUCAUGAAAUUGAUUUGUGCUUUUAGUAUUGUGGAGCAAAGAGACAGCUGAGGUUUACUCUGAAAUCAAUUUAUUAUUAUUAGCUUUUAAUUCUGGAGAAAUUUGGUAAUGGAAGGAUUUCUCUUCUUACACUUGAAGAGGAUAUUUGAGAGCCUUUUUAUGAGUAUCUCUUAAUAGGGUGCCAUCACUUGGGUCAGGAGGAAGAGAAACAAAUGUCCCCACUGGCCUUUCCUUUUAUGGAAACAGGCAUGUGUGGCUCAUUUCAACAUGUCAGUUGUACAUCUGGUAGCUCUAGAAGCUGAAUUCCAUGUCUAAUUCCUGGGAGAACACUGGGAAGGAGCAAUGAAAUGGAGAGACUAACUUCCAAGCACAGGUUUCAAAGAAGCAGUGCACACUGGGAAGUUGAAAUUGUUCAUUUACAGAAGGCACAGCAAGGUGGCCUGCAAAUGUAAGUGCUCCUCUGCAUUGUGUCUCUUUAAGAGAGUUAUUUUAUUCUGUGUAUAUGUGCCUGCAUGAGCUUAUAUGUAUCACAUGCUUUUGGGUGCUGCAGAAGCUAGGUGAGGAUUAUAGAGACUCUAGAGCUGUAGUUAAUCGAGGAUUGCGAGCUGUCCAGUGUGGGUGCUGGGAACCAGUCCCUGGUCCUAUACAAGAGCAGUGGGUGCUUGUAGCCACUGUGCUAUCCUGCCUCUGUUUUUGUUUUUGUUGUUUUUUGUUUGUUUGUUUGUUUGUUUGAGGCGGAGUUUCUUUGUAUAACCCAGGCUGGCCUUGAUUGAACUCCUGGUGAUUCUCCUUCCUCAAUCUCCUCCUGAGUUCCAGUAUUAAAGGCAUUAUCAUAGUUGGGCUUUUUUUUUUUUUUUUUUUUUUAAGGUUUACUAGAUGAUACCACUAAGAACAAGAUGAGAACACAUGGGUCUGGAUAGUCAAAUAAAGGUUGUAGAUCUACAUUUUUGAGGGAAGCUUACUGAUCUAGGCUUGAAGAGGGGUGUGGUGGUUUGAAUAUGCUUGGCCCAGGCAUUGGCACUAUUAGGAAGUGUGACUUUAUUGAAGGAAGUGUGUCACCGAGAGGGUGGGCUUUUAAACCCUCCUCCUGGCUUCCUGGAUGACAGCUUCCGCUAUGGAACAAGAUGUAGA